UGCUGUUUCCAUCCGCCCUUUUCACUCACUCUGACCAGCGUUGGAGUAAAGAUGCAGUCAGACUUGGAGACCGAUCUGGAAAGACAGACCAAUUCAUCAGGAAAUGGGAAGCGAGCAUCAUUCCAAAGCUGAGAGCAGUUGCUGCCUUGGAAAAAGGUGGUGUUGCAUCACUUACAGAGGGGAUGGAAGACCAGACAGAUGAUGAAAAGUGCUAUACCAUGCUGGUUGUUCUGACACAUCUUCUGCCACCAAUGCCCGGGAGUCGCUGCAGUGUGAAAUCAGCAAUAACAUUCCUUAUUGAUUUUGUACCGGUAUGUUUCGAAAUUAUGUCUGUAAGAGCCAAUGAGGGACCAGGUACGGUGGCCGACGGGUGCAAACGCCCUGCAAUUUAUGACAACUCAUG